rnacentral:rRNA from 1 species
AGCAGUCGCCACGGUAAUACGAAGGGUGCAAGCGUUAAUCGGAAUUACUGGGCGUAAAGGGUGCGUAGGCGGUUUGUUAAGUCUGUUGUGAAAUCCCCGGGCUCAACCUGGGAAUGGCAAUGGAUACUGGCAAGCUAGAGUGUGUCAGAGGAUGGUGGAAUUCCCGGUGUAGCGGUGAAAUGCGUAGAGAUCGGGAGGAACAUCAGUGGCGAAGGCGGCCAUCUGGGACAACACUGACGCUGAGGCACGAAAGCGUGGGGAGCAAACAGGAUUAGAUACCCCAGUAGUCCUGUCUCUUAUACA